UUUGGGUUUUUUUAACCCUUUCUUAGAGGCAUUGCCUGUUGGCUGCAGCCCAGGCUGGGGAUUGUGCCUGGGCUGUGCCAGUGCUCCUGCUGGGACUUAAACCUGGAGGAUCAUGGCUAGAGGGUAUUGCCCCCUGCUCACGGUC